rnacentral:tRNA from 1 species
GUUCCUGUAGUUAAAUGAGCAUAGCGACGGCUUUUCGAGCCGUAGGUCUCAGAGAGAAGCUGGGUAGGAACA